AGUGGGGAAUAUUGGACAAUGGGCGAGAGCCUGAUCCAGCAUGCCGCGUGAGUGAUGAAGGCCUUAGGGUUGUAAAGCUCUUUUACCCGGGAUGAUAAUGACAGUACCGGGAGAAUAAGCCCCGGCUAACUCCGUGCCAGCAGCCGCGGUAAUACGGAGGGGGCUAG
rnacentral:rRNA from 1 species